AGUGAAAUGACGUCCGAUGACUUGAGGCGUCUUCAAGUCUCGAAACAGGAACUUCGCUAAAUAAUGUUUCCCCGCUCCUCCCGCUAGAUGAUCCCCGUGUGGGCAUUGUCCGUGCCCCUCCCCGCGGUGCUGCUCAUAGCCGUCUGCGCUUACAUGCUCGUCCUCGGGGUGGUGCUGUGGGGCAGACACUGCUUCAAGGUGGAGUGCAAGCCUGAGUGCUGUAGCUGCUGUGGGAGUGUGAGUGUGUGUGUGUGUGACCACUGCAUGGUGUGUGCCGAGGCGUGUGACUGCACCCUCCCGUCACUCCGCUCCUGCCUGGACGUCUCCUGUCCCGCCUCUGCCUGUCCCGACCUCUCCUGCCCCGACCUCUCCUGCCCUGACCCCUCCUGUCCCCAGUGUCCAGCUCCCUCUUGGCCAUGUGGGCAGGUAGACUUAACCUGCACCUGUCAGAGGCCGCAGUGUGACAACAUCAACUGCUUCUGCUUCGAGGUCAGCUUCAGGUGACCUUCUGCUCCGAGAUCAGCUUCAGGUGACCUUCUGCCUGGAGAUCAG